UGCCUUCGGAAAACGCGUGAGGGAGGAGGCUACUGGUUGUAACCUCUUUUGAAGGGAAGAAGACAUGACGGUACCUAUCGAAUCAGCCUCGGCUAACUCCGUGCCAGCAGCCGCGGUAAUACGGAGGAGGCAAGCGUUAUCCGGAAUUAUUGGGCGUAAAGCGUCCGUAGGUGGCGAACCAAGUCAGUUGUUAAAGCGUGGAGCUUAACUCCAUAUCAGCAAUUGAAACUGGUUGGCUAGAGUGCGAUAGGGGCAAGGGGAAUUCCCAGUGUAGCGGUGAAAUGCGUAGAUAUUGGGAAGAACAUCGGUGGCGAAAGCGCCUUGCUGGGUCUGCACUGACACUUAAGAAUAAACGCUAGCCCCCC
rnacentral:rRNA from 1 species